ensembl:lncRNA
UGGUGUCCUUAGGUCACAGUAGAAGACAGGUAAUAAAGCCUUCAGUCUGAAGGUGUGUCAGGAUACUCCCACCUCCUGCCUUCAGGGAUGGAAAGGAACCAUGGACAAGCACGUAGGCAAUCUCUAGAGGCAGCAGCAGAGUGGUUUCAACCAACAGAUUCUAGAUCACAUGAAUUAUGUGUCUACCGUCUGCACCUCUAAAUGGUCUUUCCAGCUCGUCAGAAAUCAGUCCUGGCAGAAUCCCCUCCUCAUGUCACAAAACAAGUGGGUUGGCUUUUGUCUGCCCAUGCAUUACAUGAAUGCUGGUUUAUGCUGAUUGCCACCUCAAGUCACAGAUAAAGAAAACAAAAAUUCAGUGCUAGUUUGAAGUAGACUAACAUGCUAUUUUUAGCUUUUUUUUCUAAUUUGUUUGAAUAAUCAGCUUAACUCUUUUGUUGUAGGAAAGACAGAAAAACCUGUGAAGUGCUGUAUCUUUUCCUUAUUGGAGAUAAAAUUAUAUGAUAAAGUCUUCUACAAGUACCCACAAAUAUGUACUCAUUUACAAUCAUUAAAUAACAGUUUUAGAAUCUUUUUCCUGUGAGAGAACAUAAUCUUCAUCCAGCUUGCAGAGGAAAGAGGCUCUCUUCUCAAGUGGAACCCUUUACAUUCCUAUAUGCCUUGUACAAACAAAAUUUCCAAUUGAAAUGCCAGUGCUAGUUCUUGCAAUGAACUCCCUCCAUAUGUGCUAGAGAAAAAGCAAUGAAUCAUAGAGGGAAAGAGAGGCUAAAGCAAAUCAACCCUUUCCCAUUAAAUGCUACCAUAUCCAGCAUUUCAAUUAGCUAAUAUUGAUACUAUAAUUUUGUGUGUUGGUGAUUGUACGUGCUAUACAUAACAGCAAAUUACUGCAAUCACCAACUGUUGAACAAGUGCUUCUGACUCACCAGCUACUCUUUGAUCUUAAAAUUGUAGUUUCCUAUUAACAGUUAAGUACCAUAAAUGUACAUUAAUAUAAAUGAGAAAGGAGGUAAGUUUACAAAACACAAGAAAAAAUAAGUCAAGGGAAAAGGCACAGCAGUGAGUAAUCAUGUAUAUAAUGGCAGUCUCCCUACUAUGCUCUUUCCUUUCCUUGCUAGCUCACUGUAAAAAUCACAGUGGUUGUUACUGCUAAGGAGAAUUCACCACUAAAACAAUCCUCAAACCCCUGAGCAUUUCAGACUGCUCCCCUUGCCCAGUUAACUUGACCUCAAAGCACUCUGUAGGCACCGGACUUUCUUAUCUUUCAUGAGAAGCUGAGUAGAGGAUUUAUAUUGAUAUAGUCAGAGAGCCUGAGAUGAUAUUCAAGACUUAAUUCUCAUUUUUGCUAAGAUUUCCUUACAUCAUGAUAGAGUAAGGCAGCAUCAUCAGGCAUCAGGUUCUUCUAACUGUGUAGCUGCCUGUUUUUUCUCUGGCUAAGAAUGCAGUUGUGAUGAGGGGAACACCAAGAGAGAAACCAGAGUCAGAUACUAACAGAGAUAAUCUUAAACAAAGCUAAGUUGUAUAUUAUCUGCACACUCAUUAAUUACUUUGUUGUUACUGUGUUCAGAUGUCACAAUGGCACUACACCAUGCAGUAGUAUAUGCUCCAUUUAGUGUUAUAAUGCGAUUUUUUAAUAUAUCAACACAUAGAAAUGGAAAGGCUGUUUUCCUUUCUGGGUUUAAAAAUACCUGUCAUUGCUAAGCUCACAACUGACUAUAUUAUCUAGUGUAGACAGCUGAGAAUGUGAGAAGGUUCACUAGAAAGCAUUUCACAAAAAUUUCUAAUUCUCUUCAAAGAAAGGUUAGUCCAUACAAAAAUGCAGAGUCUAUUAAAAGAUGCUCAAUAAGAUACAUUGCAUGUUCUCCAAAUGUCUGUCACAGAUGGCUUUCUGUCUGUAAUUGUGAUUUGAAAAAAUACUGAUUUAUGUUCCACAGAACACAGGAAAAAAUACAGAAGGAGAUUAGAGCCAGCCACUAGAAAGGAACAGACUCUACCAAGUAAAUUGCAAAGCCGUAGGAAGAGCUCCUAUUACUCAGGGUUGAAACUCUCCUAACAUCCAGAGAAGAGGGCUGAGCGAUGUGAAUAUGUCAGCAUGUCCUUAUUUAGGGACUGCUCUCUUGGACAAGCUGCCAAACGAGGGGAAAGCAAUUGGACCAUGAGAAAAGUAGGUAACAAUGUGUAGUGCUUUGGCUCAGAAGUCACAUGUAUGGAAAGGCCAUAAACAUGCACUAGUCACAGAAAACACUGCACACCUCGUGCCUGAGUAGCCCCUGCCACGGGCACUGAGAAAUCGCAGCAUCCCAGCUUCAAAGGAUUUACUAAAUCCAGUUCUGGGGCUGCUCACUGCUCUCACAAAUGCCAGCUCUCUGGGCUGUGGAUGGAGGCACCAAGAGGCAAAGCAAGAUGUGUUCCCGUGAAAGUGCCCUACCAGAGACUCUGCUGAGGAUGCUCUUCCUGACAGGCCACACUCAUUCCCCUUGUUCCCAAAAUUUCAUGCAGAGGUGGCACAUUCUGCUGCGUAUCUAAGGAAGCUCAACUUUUUAAAGACUUAAUUCCACACAGUUUUCUUUAAAAUUCCCAUCAUCUUUGAGGACUCAGUGGACUGCAACAGAAAGUUUACUCUCCUAUAGUCUUCAGAGAUACAGAAGCUAUAUGACCUUUUGUAUGGGCCCUAAACACUAUCUCAGCGUGUGCAGCAACACAAACUUAAUGGAAUAUAUGGCCACAUGAGAAUAGACUCCAGCAGCACCAUUGCACUGAAAUUAAGAGUCCAGAUUCUUAUCACAACACUCCUUUCUGAAUUUCACCACUGAAACUGAUUUAAAAACCUUGUUAUCAAAACACUCUCCUCCACAAGAAUUUUACAGCAUUGCAGCUAAAGCCUGUGACAGAACAUUCUGCCUUUGCACCUUUGGGGCCUGCUGUCUGCAACAACUGAAGUCAGCACCUGAAGUCAGAGACUGCUCUGUAUAUCCAGAACAUGGUUCGCAAUUAUUCUCUGAAAAUAAGCAAUUUGCUCACACCUCCAGACACUUGUGGAUAAAUAAGGACUACAGGCCUUAUCUGCUGAUUGUUUUGAACUAUUUCAUAAAGUAGAGGUUUGAUGGUUUGGAACAAAUGAAGAAAACUGGCUCCUCAUUUUUAUAAAGUUUUUUUUUCAUUGGAAAUUGAGAAUUUAUCAAACUGCUACUGAAGUUGAAUCCUACCGAAAUUAUGGAACUGGGACUGACAUCUGCAAAAGUGGGUUUAGUUUUACUGCAUUCAAUUAACUAAAAUAUAUAACUCACACACCUAUAAAACAGGCCACUCAGCUGGAAAAUAAAUGUAUCUUCAGCUUGUGAUAUUUUAGUAUGUACAGAUUUUCUUAAAUCAUUAUUUGUUGUCAUAGUCAGAACUGCUAAACAGCAUAAUCCACCAACUCAAUCUGUAAGGACAAAACAAGCAGUUGUCUUUCAGCACUCCAUCAACAUUCCCUCUACCAGAUGCCUUCUCAAUCUUCUCUUCAUCAUCCAAACUCAGCUGCAAUAUUUCUCCUGAAUACCAUUUUUCCAAAUAAAUCCCAACAAUAUAGUGUACAAGGUAUAGAUUUUCAGUUAGUUGAGAGCUCUGUGGCUGUUGAGAAAUAGAUGUGUGCACUGAAGUCAGGUACAGGAGUUCCAGGGGAUUCCUGGGGGGAUGCAGCUUUGGAAAGUUGGGUCACAUCUUCCACUGCAGGAUUUACAUCAGUGGGGUCACUGAGGGCUUAAAGGAAACCUGCACAGUCAUUUAUAAAUUAAAACGUUAAUGUCAGGUGGAUUAAGAUUACACCACUGAGUUAAAUGCUGAUUUCCUUGAUUAUUUUCCUAGAGCCUAGUUUUAAGCAACAAAUUCAUGGAAUGUGACAUCAGGUGGAAGGUUCAUAAUUUAUAUAAAUUGUGAACAAGACUGAUGAUGCAAACAUCAAGCAAGUAAAGACAGUGCUAGGAAAGAAAAUAAGAUUUCAGACUGGGCACAAUGUUGUACACAUUCUUGGAUCCUGCAUGGCACCACACACAACAGUACAUGAAUUUAUAAAUAAAAUUAAAUGCUUGAAACCAAUUUGAUGCAGCCACUCAAUCAUAAAGAGAAUUAUUUAGAUCUAUUCACUGCUGCUGAAUAAUAUACUUUCCAUAAAUUUUUAUGUGUAGUCAGUAUCUCACUGUCUGUAAAGCUGCAUUGUUUUCAACUCCUUAGAACUAGUAUAAUUUAAUAAAUUAAAUACCUAUUUUCCAGACUCAUCUUUGCUUUAGGGUAAAUGUUUUGCAAAAAUUUAGCCAAGAAAGAUAUAGCCUAUACAUAUACAUACACAUAUACAUGCACAUAUAAGUUUAUACAAGACUGAAAAAAGAAAUUGUUUGUUAUGUUCACAUCAGUAGUUCUAAAGACUUUAAGCACCACUGUGUCCCCUCCUCUGGAGCAGCAGUGCACUUGGCAUGGAGAUACUGUGCUAGGAGCUCUGUGUUUUGGCAAUGUGACUUUUGCCAAAUAUGUGAAAAUGUAUCCUAAUUUAGCCAAGUCAUAAACUGUAACAAGCCAUGCCCUGCAAGUACCCAGAUGUCCUGCUGUACCUGCUGAAUACGUGCAGCUGCAUUCUCUGAUUAUUCCAAUAGAAAUACUCAGAUUCAGGGUAAAUCACGAUUUUAUUUGCAAAUUUCCUUCUGGACUUUUCUUGGGUCUUCCUAGGCUGUCUGGGUCUGGAAUCAGUGAAAGAAGCCUCUUCUCUGGUGCUGUCUGCACUUCCUGCUGGCCUUAGAGCUUGUGGGAGAGAAAAGUGUCUGAUUUACACACAGAACCAGAAAGGGCUGAACUUUAGUGGGAGAGAACAGAGGGCAGACUUCAACCGAGGCAACAAACUGACACUCAGCAUGGAGGAGGAAUAAAGGGACAUCUGAGGAGCAGCUGUGUUCCCUGAGAACCAUCAAGUCUGGGAAGGCAAAGAAACAUAAAGGAGUGAGGAGGUGAUCACUACAUUGGAAUGGUCAACAGGAGAGGAACCAGAAAGGGAGAUGGGUCACCUUGAGUCCACAACUUCACAGAAAGGUCAAAAUCCAUGUAGGUAACUAGAAAAGGCUGAACAAAAGUUUGGGGACAAAGAGUCCGGCAGCAAACCUUCAAUCCCACCGAGUUGCCUGACCACUCCAUUCCUGCUCUGGGCUUUUGGAGAGGCUUGGCUGUGGUGAAACUUGUGGUGUUGAUACUGAGAAACCUGGGACAAGGAAACGCUUCAUCACAGGCAUUAUGGUUGGGAAUGGGACUGAGACAAAUGACCUCAGAAGGAGCUCUGGGAGGUGAGAGUGCAUCUCCUGAGAAACACCAUGUGCAGUCUGAGAUUGUGCUGAAAACUGACAUUGGACUCACAGAAGAUACGGGUUAAGGAGGCAGGUAUGGGAAAAGAGAAACUGUGUAACUGUGCAGUUUAAAGUGAUACCAAAAUAUACCAAAGCACAAAUUAUUUUUACACUGACACUGAUUUCAGACAGACCCCGAUUAGGGAGUCCUUUGUAGCAGUGGCUCGAGAUGUGUGCCAUUUGGAUCCCCGGGGAUGCACAGCUACUUUAGACACCCCCAUCCCUAAAAUGUACCCGACACGCCUAGGCACGGCCACCGGCCCCUCACAGAGCAGCCACAGACGGGCCUGGGCUGGGGCUCCGUCACUCUCGCUCCGAGGCGCCACUUCCCUCGGGAGCAGCAACGGGGCGGACGGGAGAUACCCGCACCGGCCAGAGUGUGCCCGGGCGGAGAUACCCGCACCGGCCCGCCUGUGCCCGGGCGGAGAUACCCGCACCGGCCCGCCUGUGCCCGGGCGGAGAUACCGCACCGGCCCGCGUGUGCCCGGGCGGAGAUACCCGCACCGGCCCGCCUGUGCCCGGGCGGAGACACCCGCACCGGCCCGCGUGUGCCCGGGCGGAGAUACCCGCACCGGCCCGCCUGUGCCCGGGGGAGAUACCCGCACCGGCACUUCCAAGCCUCCGCGGGAGCCGCCGGCGCGGCUCGAAGAAGGGGCAGACCCGCAAACUCUGCCCGGGGCGCUUCCCCGAGCCCCGGCCGGGCGCAGCCGCUCACGUCCGACACGAACCGCAUCAUUCGCAAUUAGCGGUUUGAUGUGAUACGGGAGCGCAUGGUUUGCAUUACGGAAGGAAUGACCUGAUAAUCGCCCGGCAGCAGCUUGCAGAUGUGCUAAGUGACUCCGGUCCCGCUCCCCGGUGGCAUCUCCCGCUCCCCGGCGCCUUCGCCGCUCCCCUGCGCGCAGCAGUGGCUCGGUGGC